rnacentral:rRNA from 1 species
AGUGAACGCUGGCGGUAGGCCUAACACAUGCAAGUCGAACGGCAGCACAAUAAGCUCUUUCUCUUUCGGUUGGUUAGUAACGGACGGGUGAGGAGUACGUCGCAUUCUACUUUUUCGUGGGGGAUUACUUAAGGAGACAUACACUAAUACCUCAUACGACCUACCGCUUAUCGUAUAGUUUCUUCGGACCUUUCCCGCAUUACUGAGUCGAGGUCGGAUUUACUAGUUGGUGGGUGAAGGACCGACCAAGGCGACCAUCGGUAGCUGGUCUGAGAGGAUGAUCAGCAACACUGGAACUGAGACACGGUCCAGACUCCUACGGGAGGAAGCAGAGGGGAAUAUUGGACAAUGGGCGAAAGCCUGAUCAAGCAAUACCGCGUGGGUGAAGAAGGCUUUCGAGUUGUAAAGCCCGUUUGUAGGGAAAGAAAAGCAGCAGGGUAAAAACCUGAUGUUCUGACGGUACCUAAAGAAUAAGCAACGGCUAACUUCGUG